UAUGCUGGAUUCUGGUGAACCUCCAUUUUUCCUUUUCCAUGGUGGUUCAGAGAGAAUACAUUACAGUUCAGCUAUGGUUUAACUGUAUGCACAAUACCUUCCCAGAGAAUUACAGGAAAGAUUUUUUUUUUUUUUUUUUGCCAGUGGCCUCAUGUGGUGAUAUUCCUUGUUUAUAAUCUAUCAGAUAAAGUUUGUCUGCAGAUCAGAGGCCGGAGCUAGCCACUAGUUAACCAUAGAGGUCUGGAGGUCUGAACAGACAGGCAGGAAGUGAUACGGCUGAGCAGAGAGAAGAAUAUAUGGCGGGAAUAGACAGGAACUUGGUUUCUUGCGGCUGAGGAGUUAGCAAGGUAAGAAAGAGUUGGCUGUAGCUUGCUCUUUUCUCUUUCCAAUCUUUCAACAUUUGCCCAGCCAUCUGACUGCAGGUUUUUAUUAUUAAGACCAAUUAGAACUCUUGUUCCAGCCUUUAAUUCCUGAAAGUGCCAUCCAUGGUGUGUCUCUCUGUAAAACUUCUUUCUUAAAUGUUUCUUGGCUGGGUUUCGCAGCUGAGAGGGAAAGCAAAAACCAGUCCCCGGAUCAAGCCUGGGUUUCGGCUCCAUUUUCCCCUUCCCACCCCUGUGACUCCACCUAGAAUUAGGCUUGAGACAAGCACCCACCACUUCCACUUCGUGCCUAGUUCAAGCCAGGAGCACACUGAUGGAAGAUUCCAGGGCAUUUUGCUCCCGGUCCCUCCAUUUUUUAAAGUGGACAUUGCUUCAGCCAUCUCCAAUUUGAAUGCUGUUUCUUCUCUGUGGUGAGAGGCCCACCAAACCCAUGGUGCACCUGAGUUGGCAAGAUGAAGGGCACGAUCUCUGGUUGAGGUGAUGGGGAAUGACUGUCCUGGUGCUGCCACCUAGAGGUUCAUUUUAGCCUCGCACUUAAUUCACAGGAACACUACCCCAGUGAGUUCACUUCUGGAGAUGGAAAGAAAGAGUAUAUCUUCAGGACAGAAUUCAGGAAAUGGAAUUCACUAUAUUAAAAAAAAAAAUGUUCAAACAUUCAGGAACCCUAAAGAGGGUCUUACAAAGUCAAAGGUGACGCUGAACUUCUGAUCCUUCUACCUUCACCUCCUAAUGAAUUACAGGCAUGUGACAUCAUGCCUAGUUUCAAUGUGGUGGUGGGGAUGAAACCCAGCACUUCCUCUGGGCAACUGCUAUACCAACUGAGCCACAUCUCAUCCCUAGCCUUCUAAAUACCCUGCAGGUCACAGCUCAACCUAGGACCACCAGGCUCACUUCAACCUUCACCUGCUCCAGUUGUCCUACGAAACCACCAGCCUUGAUUGUCCCGGAGCCGUCUUUACACCUGUGGCACCCUCAGUCUGGAACUCUUUCCUCUCUACUGUUAUUAUUAUUUCAGCAUUGGUUCAAAAAUCUCUUCAGGGGUUUUUUAACUCUGCAUUUGAUGGGUGAGAAGGGCGUUCCAUCCUGACAUCCUGUUUGUUUCAUUCGGUGCUUAGCAAAAGUGACACAAAAAGCUGCUGUCACCUCACUAAGUCUUGAGAUUCCUGAAGAACAGUGAUGGCUUGAGCCUGCAUCCCUCAUGACCAAAACUCACAUUGAAACAUAAACCCCACAGUGGUGGUGGAAAGAAGCUGUUGGGUCUCCAGGGGCUGGAGAGAUGGCUUAGCAAUUAUGAGUAUUGGCAGCUCUUCCAGAGGUCCCACAACCAGCUAUAACUCGGGCUCCAGGGGGUCUCCAGCAUCCUCUUCUGCCCUCUGGGAGCACACACAUGAUAACGUGGACAAACCCACAAGCAAAACUCUCAUACACACAAAAUAAAAUAAACAAGUCUUUAAAUAAGAAGUUGGGUCUUUAGGGAAGCCAUUCAGUCAUGGAGUCUCUGAACUUGUGCCUUAUAAAGGGCCAGGAAAAAUAACUUAGGCUGUGUCUUAAGUCUCCUUGCCAGCUGCUGCGAUGAACCCCUUGACAAAAGUAACGUAGGGGGGGAAGGGUUUAAUUUAGCUCACAAUUCCAGGUUACAUCAUCAUGUCUGGAAAGCCACAGUAGUAGGAGACAGCCAGUCAUACCACAUCCAAAAUCAGGAACAGAUGGCAAGAAUACACGUGUGCUUUUGGAGAGCCCUUUUCCCCUUUGUGUCAGUCUGGGGCCCAGCCCAGGAAACAGAGCUGCCCAUGUUCAGGGUGAGUCUCCCCAGUUCAAUUAACCCAUUAAGAAAAUCCCUCAUAGGCAAACCAACAGCCCAGUCUAACCUAGACAAUUCUUACUAAGGCUCUUUCCCCACGUGAUUAUAGAUUAUAUCAUGUUGACAAAACUAAGAAGCUGGAGAUGGCUCAGCAGUUAGAGUACUUGAUGCUUUUGCAAAGGACCCAGGCUCAGUUCUGUUCCAGGCACAUACACAACGGCUUACAGCUGUCUGUAACUCCAGUUCAAGGGGUUCUGGCAUCCUCUUCUAGCCUCUGAGGGCACCUGCAUGGACACACAUGCAGACAAAACACUCGAGCCACACAAAACUUUAUAAUCAAAAUCUUAGAAGAAGUAAAGAAGAAAAAGCAAGCUAACAGUCAUAGGCCUUUUUCUUUUUAUCCUUCUGAUACUCUGCUGUGCAAGUUCUCUUUCUUUCCUCUCUCCCUGUCAUGUGGGCAUAGCCAGAGAGAGUUGGCUAUAAGAAAUGGAUGGAUCUUGUACUGAACUUACCAGCACCCUGAUCUUAGAAUUCUCAGCCUCCAGAAUUAUGAGAAAAUAAACAA